rnacentral:rRNA from 1 species
UACGUAGGUGGCAAGCGUUGUCCGGAAUUAUUGGGCGUAAAGGGCUCGUAGGCGGUCCAUCGCGUCGGGAGUGAAAAGCUGGGGCUUAACCCCAGUCCUGCUUCCGAUACGGGUGGACUAGAGGUAGGUAGGGGAGAUCGGAAUUCCUGGUGUAGCGGUGAAAUGCGCAGAUAUCAGGAGGAACACCGGUGGCGAAGGCGGAUCUCUGGGCCUUACCUGACGCUGAGGAGCGAAAGCAUGGGGAGCAAACAGG